rnacentral:rRNA from 1 species
GACGAACGCUGGCAGCGUGCCUAAUACAUGCAAGUCGAGCGAAUCGAUGGGAGCUUGCUCCCUGAGAUUAGCGGCGGACGGGUGAGUAACACGUGGGUAACCUGCCUGUAAGAUUGGGAUAACUUCGGGAAACCGGAGCUAAUACCGGAUAAUUUCUUUUCUCGCAUGAGGAGAGAUGGAAAGAUGGUUCUGCUAUCACUUACAGAUGGACCCGCGGCGCAUUAGCUAGUGGGUGGGGUAACGGCCAACCAAGGCGACGAUGCGUAGCCGACCUGGGAGGCUGAUCGGCCACACUGGGACGGGGACACGGCCCAGACUCCUACGGGAGGCAGCAGUAGGGAAUCUUCCGCAAUGGACGAAAGUCUGACGGAGCAACGCCGCGUGGGCGAAGAAGGCCUUCGGGUCGUAAAGCUCUGUUGUUAGGGAAGAACAAGUACGAGAGUAACUGCUCGUACCUUGACGGUACCUAACCAGAAAGCCACGGCUAACUACGUGCCAGCCGCCGCAGUAACAC